CAUUCUUCUGAGCAUGCCUCUUAUGAUGCUAGGAAGGUCUAACUCUGAAUUAUGUUUGAUAUUCAGGGGAGAACAAUCUGGCAGUGAGCUGACUUCUACCAAAGCAACCUGGAUCAGGAAGCUGGUGGAGGAGAGCCUGGAACCCCUUUGGUGAGGGGCCUAAGACCUCAUGACAAGGUGUGUAAAUGGGGGAGCCAGAUGAAAGCCAGGUCCUUUGACUCCUAAGCAUGAACUUCACCCAGGGCUCAUAUUUAGAAGAUUGACCAUCCAAGCACCGCAAGGUAAGAGCAAUCGUGACAGAACGACCCUGGAGCUGGGUCCCCCAGACGGGCCCUGAAGGUCUGCACGUCACUGCUUGACCACCCCGCCUGGUGCACACAAGCUGAGUAUGGACUUUGUUAAUGGCUGGUCUGCUCUGGGG
rnacentral:lncRNA from 9 species